rnacentral:tRNA from 1 species
GCUCCCUUAGCUCAGUCGGUAGAGCGCUUCCAUGGUAAGGAAGAGGUCAAGAGUUCAACUCUCUUAGGGAGCUCCA